rnacentral:rRNA from 1 species
GAUGAACGCUGGCGGCGUGCCUAAUACAUGCAAGUCGAGCGAACAGACGAGGAGCUUGCUCCUCUGACGUUAGCGGCGGACGGGUGAGUAACACGUGGAUAACCUACCUAUAAGACUGGGAUAACUUCGGGAAACCGGAGCUAAUACCGGAUAACAUGUUGAACCGCAUGGUUCAACAGUGAAAGACGGUCUUGCUGUCACUUAUAGAUGGAUCCGCGCCGCAUUAGCUAGUUGGUAAGGUAACGGCUUACCAAGGCAACGAUGCGUAGCCGACCUGAGAGGGGGUAGCGCGCACCAGAAACUGAGACGCGGCCCAGGCCCCGAGGGGAGGCAGAGGCAGGGAAUGUUCCGCAAAGGGGGAAAGCCUGCGGGAGGCACGGCGGGGGGGUGAAGAAGGUCCUCGUGCGGUAAAACUUUUUUAUUAGGGAAAAAAAAAUUGGAAAGUAACGAAGCCCGUCUGGAGGGUACCUAUAAAGAAAGCCCGGGUUAACACCGG